CUACGGGGUGCACCAGUGGGGAAUAUUGCACAAUGGACGAAAGUCUGAUGCAGCAACGCCGCGUGGAGGAUGACACAUUUCGGUGCGUAAACUCCUUUUAUAUAAGAAGAUAAUGACGGUAUUAUAUGAAUAAGCACCGGCUAACUCCGUGCCAGCAGCCGCGGUAAUACGGAGGGUGCAAGCGUUACUCGGAAUCACUGGGCGUAAAGAGCGUGUAGGCGGAUAGAUAAGUUGGAAGUGAAAUCCUAUGGCUCAACCAUAGAACUGCUUCCAAAACUGUCUAUCUAGAAUAUGGGAGAGGUAGAUGGAAUUUCUGGUGUAGGGGUAAAAUCCGUAGAGAUCAGAAGGAAUACCGAUUGCGAAGGCGAUCUACUGGAACAUUAUUGACGCUGAGACGCGAAAGCGUGGGGAGCAAACAGGAUUAGAUACCCCGGUAGUC
rnacentral:rRNA from 1 species